rnacentral:rRNA from 1 species
GUGGGGAAUUUUGGACAAUGGGCGCAAGCCUGAUCCAGCCAUGCCGCGUGAGUGAUGAAGGCCUUCGGGUUGUAAAGCUCUUUAGCCGAUGAUUAUAAUGACUGUAGUCGGAAAAUAAGCCCCGGCUAACUUCGUGCCAGCAGCCGCGGUAAUACGAAGGGGGCGAGCGUUAUUCGGAAUCACUGGGCGUAAAGCGUGCGUAGGCGGCUUUGCAAGUUGGGAGUGAAAGCCCAGGGCUCAACCCUGGAAUUGCUCUCAAAACUGCAAGGCUCGAAUUCGGGAGAGGAUAGCGGAAUUGUCAGUGUAGCAGUGAAAUGCGUAGAUAUUGACAGGAACACCAGUGGCGUAAGCGGCUAUCUGGACCGAUAUUGACGCUGAGGCACGAAAGCGUGGGGAUCAAACAGGAUUAGAAACCCCGGUAGUCC